rnacentral:sRNA from 1 species
CCGGUUUUGGUGACAGCGUAGGGACAUUACUGAGUUACCGCUCUAUAACCCUUUGUGAACGUACCUAACCGUUGCUUCGGCGGGCAGGGGAAGCCUCUCGCGGGCCUCCCCUCCCGGCGCCGGCCCCCACCACGGGGACGGGGCGCCCGCCGGAGGAAACCAAACUCUAUUUACACGACGUCUCUUCUGAGUGGCACAAGCAAAUAAUUAAAACUUUUAACAACGGAUCUCUUGGUUCUGGCAUCGAUGAAGAACGCAACGAAAUGCGAUAAGUAAUGUGAAUUGCAGAAUUCAGUGAAUCAUCGAAUCUUUGAACGCACAUUGCGCUCGCCAGCAUUCUGGCGAGCAUGCCUGUUCGAGCGUCAUUUCAACCCUCAAGCACCGCUUGGUUUUGGGGCCCCACGGCACACGUGGGCCCUUGAAGGUAGUGGCGGACCCUCCCGGAGCCUCCUUUGCGUAGUAACUAACGUCUCGCACUGGGAUCCGGAGGGACUCUUGCCGUAAAACCCCCCAAUUCUUUACAGGUUGACCUCGGAUCAGGUAGGAAUACCCGCUGAACUUAAGCAUAUCAAUAAGCGGAGGAA